ensembl:lncRNA
CAGCUUUAGUGCUGCUGGUGGAUGGCUCUGACUGAGGAAAGUUUUAACUGGAAGUUACAUCUGGAAAGGAACAAUAAUGUUGCAGAAGUUUGGCUUUUCCUAAGCAUGGUGGCUGAGCUUGUCUUUGCUAGGAAAGUGUCCCGUGUUUUUUUCAGCAGUCAGGUGACUGUAAUCAGCCACAUUUUUGUGAUUCUGUGAAACUGAGUGCUUUGAGUGUUCUGAGCAAUCUGCAAGGAGCAGUGACUGUUCGUGCUGAGGGGGCCUGUGAAGAAAUAAGUGGGCAUUAGAAGAUGAGGCCUUGUGAAAUCCAUUGGUUGCUUUAAAAGUCGUGUACCUGUGUGCAUUGCUUUCCCAACUGUGGAGUGUUUUAAGGGUGCUGAGCAUUUUGAAUGCAGCCAUUGGGAACCAUGAAGGCAUCUUGUUACACACAGUCUUACAUCUCCUGGACACGUUCUGAGACAGACAGGUUGCUGUGCCUGACCUCAGUGCUUUGGGAAAAUGAUGACAAGGAGUCUUACAAGGAAUAAAAUGACUGGCAAAGGUUCUUCAUUAAAGAUUCACAACAAGACAUACCUGAAUAAUUUACAUUGCCUUAAUUCGCUGGGCAGGAUGGUUAAGAUUACUGCAAGAAAUUGGACACGAAUGAAAGCCAGCCCAGCCCUUCAGGCUUCCUGCUCGGAAGAGUUUGGAGCAGAUCAUUUCUCUUUCAUAAAGUCAAAGGUGAUUUAAACAUAGG